rnacentral:lncRNA from 1 species
UUACAGUAAAGGGAAAAGAGUCAAUCAACUUUGAACAGGGGAGUGAAAUUAAGGUUUAUAGAGGAAAAGCUUUAGAAAUCAGUCACAACAUAAAUAUCAAUAAAGGAAGAAACUUUAGUAUAUAAAUAGAGUGAACAAGACAUCAGACAUGCGAGGACAGAACCAUUGGCAAAAGAAACAACAUAGAAUAGCAACAAGAAUAAACAUAAAGUUCAGUAGGUAGUCAGGGCUCACACAUACAGCCAAAGCAAAGAAGAGAUUCGAAAGCGAGAAAAAGUCUCAUAGUAACAAGUGAAGAAACCUUUUGAAAAAGUUAGGGUUUCAACAACAGUUGAGUUUAAAGGAUAGUAAAACUCAUAAUCAACUAAGCCUCGUAAAGAAGAGAGCCAGAAAUAAAGAACUUUAAUCGAAUCAAGUGCAUACUCAAAAAAACAGUUCCAGGCAAAGAAGACCUAGGGUUUUCAGCUCGAGUUUAAAAGAUGGUAAACAAAGAAUCCAAACAAGAAUUCAACCAAACAAAUACACAUUUAACAAACAACUUCAAAACUCGAAUGAGUCCUAUAAGAAAUUAGGGGUUUCAACAUGCUAACUCAGAUAGAAGAAGAACAAUAUAGCAAAACAUAGCAAAAAUUAUAAAUACGUUAAAAUUAGAGAAGAGAUUUCUUGAAAUAACUUAAAGGAAAACCCUAAUCGGAAAAAAAUAAGAGUCGUUUUGAAAGAAAGUUAAAGAACAUUCGAGAAAUACUUAAGAAAAUCAUAGCAUACAGAUCUAAAGUAGAUCUGAAAGAAAGUUGAAAGAUCUUAAUGAUUUGGGUUUCUAAAAAAUCCAGAAAAGGUGAGAAAGGCCUUGAAAGUUACUGAUCUAACCAGGAGAGUCAAGGAUUUGACUCGAAUGGCCAUGGUUGGCCGGAGAAAGGUCAAGGAUGGCCUGAGAAGAGCCACAAACUGAAAUCGAACAAGGACUGGACCAGACUACUUCAAGGUCUGGCCGUGAAACCGUAAGAACAAAUACAUAGAAGCCAUGAAAGGCUGGUACAAGUCUCGAAUGACCACGGAAGGCCAUGAAUUAGGUAGGUAUUAGGGUGGAUUAGGGUGUGGUGAGAGGGCGGUGGCUAAGGAUCAUGAGAGUUUCAGAGAGAUUUGAGAGAUAAGGGGAAUUCAAGGGCGGC